AGAGAGAGCAUCGUUCUUCUAUUUCCUUCUCCUCUUCCCUGUUGCACCGCCUUUCUGUUCUUUGGGGUUGAUUUUCUCUGCUCACCAUCAGCUAUGUCUCUUCCUCGCCAUCACGUACCACCGUUGGGAGUGUUGCUGUCACCAGAUCCUCUCCUUGCCACCGCCCCUGUUUCGUCCUAAUCUUCUCUACUGUAUCGUUAGUCCAAUGAUUUCUGAUGUUCUUCCCUCUCGUUCGUGCGGCAAAUUGAAGCUUUUCCUUUCCUUCUUGGUGCCGACCAUGUGCUGAUUAUAACUGUCACUACUACACUUUGGGUUAAGAGAUGGGCAUUCCAGAUUGACAUUUAUGGAUGCAAAUGCUGAUCAUGUUUGGCACGUUUUCAAGGGAUAGUGUUUCCAAAGCAGAAGAUGAAUGUGAAGCUCAUCAUUUUCAUUCUCAUUUGGCA